rnacentral:rRNA from 1 species
UAAAGAAAGCGUAAUAGCUCACUGGUCGAGUCGGCCUGCGCGGAAGAUGUAACGGGGCUAAACCAUGCACCGAAGCUGCGGCAGCGACACUGUGUGUUGUUGGGUAGGGGAGCGUUCUGUAAGCCUGUGAAGGUGGCCUGUGAGGGUUGCUGGAGGUAUCAGAAGUGCGAAUGCUGACAUAAGUAACGAUAAAGCGGGUGAAAAGCCCGCUCGCCGUAAGACCAA